AAGCCAGUGGUGAACUCCACAUCCGCAUCCUUUGCUGAGGAUACGGUUAACGGAGCGAAAGCGACGUUCAACCGCAAAACAAGCAGAGGGGGCUUAGUGGUGGGGUGACUGCGUACCUUUUGUAUAAUGGGUCAGCGACUUAUAUUCUGUAGCAAGGUUAACCGUAUAGGGGAGCCGGAGGGAAACCGAGUCUUAAUUGGGCGUUAAGUUGCAGGGUAUAGACCCGAAACCCGGUGAUCUAGCCAUGGGCAGGUUGAAGGUUGGGUAACACUAACUGGAGGACCGAACCGACUAAUGUUGAAAAAUUAGCGGAUGACCUGUGGCUGGGGGUGAAAGGCCAAUCAAACCGGGAGAUAGCUGGUUCUCCCCGAAAGCUAUUUAGGUAGCGCCUCGUGAAUUCAUCUCCGGGGGUAGAGCACUGUUUCGGCUAGGGGGCCAUCCCGGCUUACCAACCCGAUGCAAACUGCGAAUACCGGAGAAUGUUAUCACGGGAGACACACGGCGGGUGCUAACGUCCGUCGUGAAGAGGGAAACAACCCAGACCGCCAGCUAAGGUCCCAAAGUCAUGGUUAAGUGGGAAACGAUGUGGGAAGGCCCAGACAGCCAGGAUGUUGGCUUAGAAGCAGCCAUCAUUUAAAGAAAGCGUAAUAGCUCACUGGUCGAGUCGGCCUGCGCGGAAGAUGUAACGGGGCUAAACCAUGCACCGAAGCUGCGGCAGCGAACGUAUCACCCAAGACAACUUUACGGAGUUGACGAUUGACGGAGCGAAGCGACGUCAAAGCGUUCAUUAAAGUCGAGUUGGCUUAGGGAUACGUUCGUUGGGUAGGGGAGCGUUCUGUAAGCCUGUGAAGGUGUGUCGUGAGGCAUGCUGGAGGUAUCAGAAGUGCGAAUGCUGACAUAAGUAACGAUAAAGCGGGUGAAAAGCCCGCUCGCCGGAAGACCAAGGGUUCCUGUCCAACGUUAAUCGGGGCAGGGUGAGUCGACCCCUAAGGCGAGGCCGAAAGGCGUAGUCGAUGGGAAACGGGUUAAUAUUCCCGUACUUGGUGUUACUGCGAAGGGGGGACGGAGAAGGCUAUGUUGGCCGGGCGACGGUUGUCCCGGUUUAAGCGUGUAGGUGUGUGUUCCAGGUAAAUCCGGUUCACUUUAACACUGAGGCGUGACGACGAGGCACUACGGUGCUGAAGCAACAAAUGCCCUGCUUCCAGGAAAAGCCUCUAAGCAUCA
rnacentral:rRNA from 1 species